CGGCAAGGUUAAGUACCACAGGUACGGAGCCGAAGGGAAACCAAGUCUUAAUAGGGCGAGAAGUCAGCAUACGCAGACCCGAAACCGGGUGAUCUAUCCAUGUCCAGGUUGAAGUUGCCGUAAAAGGCAAUGGAGGACCGAACCCACAUCCGUUGAAAAGGGUGGGGAUGAGGUGUGGAUAGGGGAGAAAUUCCAAUCGAACCCGGAGAUAGCUGGUUCUCCUCGAAAUAGCUUUAGGGCUAGCCUCGGUCGCGAGUCUUGUGGAGGUAGAGCACUGAAUUUCCGCGGGGGCGUCAAAGCUUACCAAAGAAUAUCAAACUCCGAAUGCCAUGUAGAUGAUGAAUGGGAGUCAGACUGCACGAGAUAAGUUGGGUGGUCAAAAGGGAAAGAGCCCAGACCUACAGCUAAGGUCCCAAAGUGCGUGUUAAGUGGAAAAGGAUGUGGGAUUUCGAAGACAACUAGGAUGUUGGCUCAGAAGCAGCCAUACAUUCAAAGAGUGCGUAAUAGCUCACUAGUCGAGAGGUCCUGCGCCGAAAAUGUCCGGGGCUGAAACACGACACCGAAGCUUAGGAAUCACAUAGUGAUUGGUAGAGGAGCAUUCUUAAAACCGACGAAGCUGUACCGGAAGGAGCAGUGGAGGGAUAAGAAGAGAGAAUGCCGGAAUGAGUAGCGAGAGGAAGGUGGGAAUCCUUCCGGCCGAAUAUCUAAGGUUUCCAGAGUAAAGCUGAUCUGCUCUGGGUAAGUCGGGGCCUAAGGCGAGGUCGAAAGACGUAGUCGAUGGAUAACAGGUGGAGAUUCCUGUACUAUGUGUACCCAGAAAUGUGGGGACGCAUGUGGAGAGCACGAGCCGGGAAAGAGAAGACCGGUACAAGCGGGGUAGGAGUAAGGACAGCAAAUCUUCCUUACAAUCCGAAGACGUAAUGUGGACCGAACCAAAGUAGGGAAGCGUGUGAGCCAUGUGCCAAGAAAAGCCGCUAUAGUGAUACACAUACCCGUACCGUAAACCGACACAGGUGGAUGAGGAGAGAAUCCUAAGGCCGACGGAAGAAGCAUUGUUAAGGAACUCGGCAAAAUGACCCCGUAACUUCGGGAGAAGGGGUGCCUGCGAAAUCAGGCCGCAGAGAAUAGGCUCAAGCAACUGUUUAGCAAAAACACAGGUCUAUGCGAAACCGAAAGGUGAGGUAUAUGGGCUGACGCCUGCCCGGUGCUGGAAGGUUAAGAGGAGAGGUUAGCGCAAGCGAAGCUUUGAAUUUAAGCCCCAGUAAACGGCGGCCGUAACUAUAACGGUCCUAAGGUAGCGAAAUUCCUUGUCGGGU
rnacentral:rRNA from 1 species